UACGAAGGGGGCUAGCGUUGCUCGGAAUCACUGGGCGUAAAGCGCACGUAGGCGGAUUGCUAAGUCAGGGGUGAAAUCCUGGAGCUCAACUCCAGAACUGCCUUUGAUACUGGCGAUCUUGAGUCCGGGAGAGGUGAGUGGAACUGCGAGUGUAGAGGUGAAAUUCGUAGAUAUUCGCAAGAACACCAGUGGCGAAGGCGGCUCACUGGCCCGAUACUGACGCUGAGGCACGAAAGCGUGGGGAGCAAACAGGG
rnacentral:rRNA from 1 species